rnacentral:rRNA from 1 species
UACGAAGGGGGCUAGCGUUGUUCGGAAUUACUGGGCGUAAAGCGCACGUAGGCGGUCCGCUAAGUCAUGUGUGAAAUCCCCCGGCUCAACCGGGGAAUGGCGCCUGAUACUGGCGGACUCGAGAUCGGUAGGGGUGAGUGGAACUCCAGGUGGAGCGGUGAAAUGCGUAGAUAUCUGGAGGAACACCGGUGGCGAAAGCGACUCACUGGACCGACACUGACGCUGAGGUGCGAAAGCUAGGGUAGCAAACGGG